rnacentral:rRNA from 1 species
AGUGAACGCUGGCGAUAGGCCUAACACAUGCAAUUCGAACGGCAUCACAGUAAGAGCUUGCUCUUACGUGUGGCGAGUGGCGGACGGGUGAGGAAUACAUCUGAAUCUACUUUUUCGUGGGGGAUAACGUAGGGAAACUUACGCUAAUACCGCAUACGACCUACGGGUGAAAGCAGGGGAACUUCGGACCUUGCGCGAUUGAAUGAGCCGAUGUCGGAUAAGCUAGUUGGCGAGGUAAAGGCCCACCAAGGCGACGAUACGUAGCUGGUCAGAAAGGAUGAUCGGCCACAGUGACACUUGGCCACCGUCAAGACUAAAACGGGAAGAAGCAGUGGGAAAUAUUGGAAAAUGGGCGAAAGACUGUUCAAGCCAUAGCGAGUGGGUAAAGAAGACAUUCGGGUUAUAAAUACCUUUAGUUGGGAAAGAAAAGCAGCAGGUUAAUAACCCACUAUUCUGACGGUACCCAAAGAAUAAGCACCGGCUAACUUCGUG